rnacentral:rRNA from 1 species
AUAUUAAUAAGUCCAGGAAAAGAAACUAACUAGGAUUCCCAUAGUAAUGGCGAAUGAAGUGGGAAUAGCUCAGGUUUAAAAUCUAAUGGUAUUUCACUAUUAGAAUUGUAGUCUUUGGAAUGGUUAUCGAGGUAUUUGCUAGUAUAAGCCUUUGGAAUAAGGUGCCCAAGAGGGUGAUAGCCCCGUAUAUGACUAGUAACUAAUAUCUUAAUAUGUUAAUUAUUCUUAGAGUCGGGUUGUUUGGGAAUGCAGCCUUAAAUUGGGUGGUAAAUUCCAUCUAAAGCUAAAUAUUGGCAUGAGACCGAUAGCGCACAAGUA